GCGGCGGUGUGGAUCCCGGUCGGUGGCGCGUGGCCUUGGCUCCACGACGACGGUUGCGUGCGGAUCCAGUCAGUGGCGGCGGCCACAACACUGUCCGUGCGGGUGAGGUCCGGGUCAUGGCGGACCGCCCUGGCGGCGGCGGCGGCGUGGAUUCAGGCGGAUCCGCCAGCGGCGGCGCGGAUUCGGGCGGACAACCACGCCCCUGACCUCCUAUACUGUUCACGCCAGCGCUGGGGAGGAGAACCUGUGCAUGGGGAAGGCACCUACAUGAGGGAGAAGCUCCCUGUGGCUACGAAUGGAG
rnacentral:misc_RNA from 1 species